UGAGGAAUAUUGGUCAAUGGACGAAAGUCUGAACCAGCCAUGCCGCGUGCAGGAUUGACGGCCCUACGGGUUGUAAACUGCUUUUAUAAAGGAAGAAACCCCUGAACGUGUUCGGGGCUGACGGUACUUUAUGAAUAAGCACCGGCUAACUCCGUGCCAGCAGCCGCGGUAAUACGGAGGGUGCAAGCGUUAUCCGGAUUCAUUGGGUUUAAAGGGUGCGUAGGCGGAUUAUUAAGUCAGUGGUGAAAGCCUGCAGCUUAACUGUAGAAUUGCCAUUGAUACUGAUAGUCUUGAGUUUGGUUGAGGUAGGCGGAAUGAGGCAUGUAGCGGUGAAAUGCAUAGAUAUGCCUCAGAACACCAAUUGCGAAGGCAGCUUACUAAACCAAUACUGACGCUGAGGCACGAAAGCGUGGGGAGCGAACAGG
rnacentral:rRNA from 1 species